UACGUAGGUGACAAGCGUUGUCCGGAUUUACUGGGCGUAAAGAGCGCGCAGGCGGUCGAUCAAGUCGAGUGUGAAAGCCCCCGGCUCAACUGGGGAGGGUCAUUCGAUACUGAUCGACUCGAAGGCAGGAGAGGGUAGUGGAAUUCCCGGUGUAGUGGUGAAAUGCGUAGAUAUCGGGAGGAACACCAGUGGCGAAGGCGACUUCCUGGCCUGUUCUUGACGCUGAGGCGCGAAAGCUAGGGG
rnacentral:rRNA from 1 species